rnacentral:rRNA from 1 species
AUUGAACGCUGGCGGCAGGCCUAACACAUGCAAGUCGAGCGGAUGAUGGGAGCUGGCUCCUGGGUUCAGCUACGGACUGGUAAGUAAUGCCUAGGAAUGUGCUUGGUAGUGGGGGAUAACGUCCGUAAACUGUCGCUAAUACCGCGUACGGCCUGAUGGGGAAAGUGUGGGAUCUUCUGACCUUAGGCUAUCAGAUGAGCCUAGGUCUGAUUAGCUAGUGGUCGAUGUAAAGGCCUACCAAGGCGACGAUCCGUAACGGGUCGGAGGGGAUGAUCAGUCACACUGUAACAGAGACACGGUCCCGACUCCUACGCGAGGACGCAGUGGAGACUCUUGGACGAUGGACGAAAGCCUAAUCCAGCCCAGUCGCGUGUGUGCAGAACGUCUUAUGAUUGUAGAGCAAUUUAAGUUGGGAGGAAGGGAAGUAAGUUAAUCCCUUGCUGUUUUGACGUUACCAACAGAAUAAGCACCGGCUAACUUCGUG